AGCAUCCAUUACAUCCUCUCCUGUAGGGAAGGAGAAGGAAAAGAAAGAGAAAAAGGAAGACAUUGCCACUCCCCAAACCGUAAGGGAGUCACAAGCAAGGACAAAGUGAAUGGGGACCAUUUGGAAACUGGAUCCUUUCCUCCCCGGGAGGCCACCCGGAAUCCUCCUCCUCCUUUCACACCUCAGAAGCUGGACUGUGGCUUAACAGCUAAAUUUUAAAAUUUUCCGACAUAAAGUUUUCCCGAAAUCUUAUCUGUUUCGUCUCUACAGUAUAUGCAGGUGGUGGUAUCUCAGCAGAGACUGGCUAAUCCUGGAACUUGCCUCACAGUUGACUGCUGGCCAGCGCCCAAGGCUGGGAUGGGGAAAGCGGGGAGCAGCUUGAGCAGAGCCAGUUUCAAAAUUGUGAAUCCAAGAGUGUGGCCACAUGUGAGCCUUGGCGGAUGGCCUGCAGCCCUGCUUGCGGGUGGGAAGGGCUCUGUCCAGGCCAGAGGGGUAGCUCAGGCACCAGGGCACCUUUCUGUUGUCUGAUGACUCCCAGGAUUCUGUGAAGGGCAGCAUCUCCCCGUCUCACGGUCCCCCUUCUGCAUCACUGACCCAUCUCACCCCGACACCCACAGGCUCAGGUCCCCUCCGGCUUCCCAGCGCCACUGAUGACUCAGCACAGGCCCAGAUGCCCACUGGAGGGCCUCUAGAGGCCCAGCCUGAGCAGAGGGACGGGCAGGAUGACAGGGCUGCCCCAGGGGCAGCUUCCUGGAAGAUGUUUUAAAGACAGAGCCCGGCUUCCAAGCCCGGUCUCUUGUGAUCUUAAUUUGUGGCUUUGUCUGAUGGGAUUCGCUUCCCUCUGCAUCUUUGGCUGUUUAUUUGGGUAAAGGAUAUUCUCUGCCCUUUCAUGUCUGAGUGGUUUCCUCCUGCUUGUGUUCAC